rnacentral:tRNA from 1 species
GCACCGCUAGCUCAAUUGGUAGAGCGCGUGACUCUUAAUCACUAGGUUCUUGGUUCGAUUCCAAGGCGGUGCA